GACGAACCGUGCGAACGUUAUUCGGAAUCACUGGGCUUAAAGCGCGUGUAGGCGGGGUGGCACGUCCGGCGCUGAAAUCCCCCGGCUCAACCGGGGAACGGGCGCGGAUACGACCGCCCUCGAGGGACGUAGGGGGACCUGGAACUUCCGGUGGAGCGGUGAAAUGCGUUGAGAUCGGAAGGAACGCCCGUGGCGAAAGCGAGGUCCUGGACGUCCGCUGACGCUGAGACGCGAAAGCCAGGGGAGCGAACGGG
rnacentral:rRNA from 1 species